CACGUAGGCACCAAGCGUUGUCCGGAUUUAUUGGGCGUAAAGAGCUCGUAGGCGGUUCGGUAAGUCGGGUGUGAAAACUUUGGGCUCAACCCAAAGCCUGCACCCGAUACUGCUGUGACUCGAGUCCGGUAGGGGAGUGGGGAAUUCCUGGUGUAGCGGUGGAAUGCGCAGAUAUCAGGAGGAACACCGGUGGCGAAGGCAGCUCGCUGGGACGGUACUGACGCUGAGACGCGAAAGCGUGGGGAGCAAACAGG
rnacentral:rRNA from 1 species